ACGACGCUGGCGGCGUGCCUAAUACAUGCAAGUCGAACGGUCUUUCUAUGGAAGCUUGCUUCCACUGAGAAGAUAGUGGCGAACGGGUGAGUAACACGUGGGUAACCUGCCCAUAAGAGGGGGGAUAACAUCCGGAAACGGGUGCUAAUACCGCAUAGUUUCUUGAUUGCAUGAUUGAGAAAGGAAAGACGGCCUUUGUGCUGUCGCUUAUGGAUGGACCCGCGGCGUAUUAGUUAGUUGGUGAGGUAACGGCUCACCAAGACGAUGAUACGUAGCCGACCUGAGAGGGUGAUCGGCCACAUUGGGACUGAGACACGGCCCAAACUCCUACGGGAGGCAGCAGUAGGGAAUCUUCCGCAAUGGACGAAAGUCUGACGGAGCAACGCCGCGUGAGUGAAAGAAGGUUUUCGGAUCGUAAAACUCUGUUGUCAGAGAAGAACAAGUUGGAGAGUAACUGCUCCAGCCUUGACGGUAUCUGACCAGAAAGCCACGGCUAACUACGUGCCAGCCGCCGC
rnacentral:rRNA from 1 species